rnacentral:rRNA from 1 species
GACGAACGCUGGCGGCGUGCUUAACACAUGCAAGUCGAGCGGAAAGGCCUCUUCGGGGGUACUCGAGCGGCGAACGGGUGAGUAACACGUGAGUCAUCUGCCCUUCACUCUGGGAUAGCCACCGGAAACGGUGAUUAAUACCGGAUACGACACGCGGCCGCAUCGUCUGUGUGUGGAAACUUUUUGGGUGGGGGAUGUGCUCGCGGCCUAUCAGCUUGUUGGUGGGGUAAUGGCCUACCAAGGCUUCGACGGGUAGCCGGCCUGAGAGGGUGACCGGCCAAACUGGGACUGAGACACGGCCCAGACUCCUACGGGAGGCAGCAGUGGGGAAUAUUGGACAAUGGGCGGAAGCCUGAUCCAGCAACGCCGUGUGAGGGAUGACGGCCUUCGGGUUGUAAACCUCUUUCAGCACCGACGAAGCGAUCCUUUGGGGAGUGACGGUAGGUGCAGAAGAAGGACCGGCCAACUACGUGCCAGCAGCCGCGGUAACAC